GGUUAAGCGACUAAGCGUACACGGUGGAUGCCCUGGCAGUCAGAGGCGAUGAAGGACGUGCUAAUCUGCGAUAAGCGUCGGUAAGGUGAUAUGAACCGUUAUAACCGGCGAUUUCCGAAUGGGGAAACCCAGUGUGAUUCGUCACACUAUCAUUAACUGAAUCCAUAGGUUAAUGAGGCGAACCGGGGGAACUGAAACAUCUAAGUACCCCGAGGAAAAGAAAUCAACCGAGAUUCCCCCAGUAGCGGCGAGCGAACGGGGAGCAGCCCAGAGCCUGAAUCAGUGUGUGUGUUAGUGGAAGCGUCUGGAAAGGCGCGCGAUACAGGGUGACAGCCCCGUACACAAAAAUGCACAUGCUGUGAGCUCGAUGAGUAGGGCGGGACACGUGGUAUCCUGUCUGAAUAUGGGGGACCAUCCUCCAAGGCUAAAUACUCCUGACUGACCGAUAGUGAACCAGUACCGUGAGGGAAAGGCGAAAAGAACCCCGGCGAGGGGAGUGAAAAAGAACCUGAAACCGUGUACGUACAAGCAGUGGGAGCACGCUUAGGCGUGUGACUGCGUACCUUUUGUAUAAUGGGUCAGCGACUUAUAUUCUGUAGCAAGGUUAACCGAAUAGGGGAGCCGAAGGGAAACCGAGUCUUAACUGGGCGUUAAGUUGCAGGGUAUAGACCCGAAACCCGGUGAUCUAGCCAUGGGCAGGUUGAAGGUUGGGUAACACUAACUGGAGGACCGAACCGACUAAUGUUGAAAAAUUAGCGGAUGACUUGUGGCUGGGGGUGAAAGGCCAAUCAAACCGGGAGAUAGCUGGUUCUCCCCGAAAGCUAUUUAGGUAGCGCCUCGUGAAUUCAUCUCCGGGGUAGAGCACUGUUUCGGCAAGGGGUCAUCCCGACUUACCAACCCGAUGCAAACUGCGAAUACCGGAGAAUGUUAUCACGGGAGACACACGGCGGGUGCUAACGUCCGUCGUGAAGAGGGAAACAACCCAGACCGCCAGCUAAGGUCCCAAAGUCAUGGUUAAGUGGGAAACGAUGUGGGAAGGCCCAGACAGCCAGGAUGUUGGCUUAGAAGCAGCCAUCAUUUAAAGAAAGCGUAAUAGCUCACUGGUCGAGUCGGCCUGCGCGGAAGAUGUAACGGGGCUAAACCAUGCACCGAAGCUGCGGCAGCGACGCUUAUGCGUUGUUGGGUAGGGGAGCGUUCUGUAAGCCUGUGAAGGUGUACUGUGAGGUAUGCUGGAGGUAUCAGAAGUGCGAAUGCUGACAUAAGUAACGAUAAAGCGGGUGAAAAGCCCGCUCGCCGGAAGACCAAGGGUUCCUGUCCAACGUUAAUCGGGGCAGGGUGAGUCGACCCCUAAGGCGAGGCCGAAAGGCGUAGUCGAUGGGAAACAGGUUAAUAUUCCUGUACUUGGUGUUACUGCGAAGGGGGACGGAGAAGGCUAUGUUGGCCGGGCGACGGUUGUCCCGGUUUAAGCGUGUAGGCUGGUUUUCCAGGCAAAUCCGGAAAAUCAAGGCUGAGGAGUGAUGACGAGGCACUACGGUGCUGAAGCAACAAAUGCCCUGCUUCCAGGAAAAGCCUCUAAGCAUCAGGUAACAUCAAAUCGUACCCCAAACCGACACAGGUGGUCAGGUAGAGAAUACCAAGGCGCUUGAGAGAACUCGGGUGAAGGAACUAGGCAAAAUGGUGCCGUAACUUCGGGAGAAGGCACGCUGAUAUGUAGGUGAAGUCCCUCGCGGAUGGAGCUGAAAUCAGUCGAAGAUACCAGCUGGCUGCAACUGUUUAUUAAAAACACAGCACUGUGCAAACACGAAAGUGGACGUAUACGGUGUGACGCCUGCCCGGUGCCGGAAGGUUAAUUGAUGGGGUCAGCGCAAGCGAAGCUCUUGAUCGAAGCCCCGGUAAACGGCGGCCGUAACUAUAACGGUCCUAAGGUAGCGAAAUUCCUUGUCGGGUAAGUUCCGACCUGCACGAAUGGCGUAAUGAUGGCCAGUGCUGUCUCCACCCGAGACUCAGUGAAAUUGAACUCGCUGUGAAGAUGCAGUGUACCCGCGGCAAGACGGAAAGACCCCGUGAACCUUUACUAUAGCUUGACACUGAACAUUGAGCCUUGAUGUGUAGGAUAGGUGGGAGGCUUUGAAGUGUGGACGCCAGUCUGCAUGGAGCCGACCUUGAAAUACCACCCUUUAAUGUUUGAUGUUCUAACGUGGACCCGUAAUCCGGGUUGCGGACAGUGUCUGGUGGGUAGUUUGACUGGGGCGGUCUCCUCCUAAAGAGUAACGGAGGAGCACGAAGGUUGGCUAAUCCUGGUCGGACAUCAGGAGGUUAGUGCAAUGGCAUAAGCCAGCUUGACUGCGAGCGUGACGGCGCGAGCAGGUGCGAAAGCAGGUCAUAGUGAUCCGGUGGUUCUGAAUGGAAGGGCCAUCGCUCAACGGAUAAAAGGUACUCCGGGGAUAACAGGCUGAUACCGCCCAAGAGUUCAUAUCGACGGCGGUGUUUGGCACCUCGAUGUCGGCUCAUCACAUCCUGGGGCUGAAGUAGGUCCCAAGGGUAUGGCUGUUCGCCAUUUAAAGUGGUACGCGAGCUGGGUUUAGAACGUCGUGAGACAGUUCGGUCCCUAUCUGCCGUGGGCGCUGGAGAAUUGAGGGGGCUGCUCCUAGUACGAGAGGACCGGAGUGGACGCAUCACUGGUGUUCGGGUUGUCAUGCCAAUGGCACUGCCCGGUAGCUAAAUGCGGAAGAGAUAAGUGCUGAAAGCAUCUAAGCACGAAACUUGCCCCGAGAUGAGUUCUCCCUGACUCCUUGAGAGUCCUGAAGGAACGUUGAAGACGACGACGUUGAUAGGCCGGGUGUGUAAGCGCAGCGAUGCGUUGAGCUAACCGGUACUAAUGAACCGUGAGGCUUAACCUU
rnacentral:rRNA from 1 species